rnacentral:rRNA from 1 species
UACGGAGGGGGCUAGCGUUGUUCGGAAUUACUGGGCGUAAAGCGCGCGUAGGCGGACCUGCAAGUCGGGGGUGAAAGCCCGAGGCUCAACCUCGGAACUGCCUUCGAAACUGCCGGUCUUGAGUUCGGGAGAGGUGAGUGGAACUGCGAGUGUAGAGGUGAAAUUCGUAGAUAUUCGCAAGAACACCAGUGGCGAAGGCGGCUCACUGGCCCGAUACUGACGCUGAGGUGCGAAAGCGUGGGGAGCAAACAGG